GACGUAGGGCGCGAGCGUUGUCCGGAUUUAUUGGGCGUAAAGAGCUCGUAGGCGGCUUGUCGCGUCGUCCGUGAAAACCUGCAGCUCAACUGCAGGCUUGCGGUCGAUACGGGCAGGCUAGAGUUCGGUAGGGGAGACUGGGAUUCCUGGUGUAGCGGUGAAAUGCGCAGAUAUCAGGAGGAACACCAAUUGCGAAGGCAGCUCGCUGGGACGUUACUGACGCUGAGACGCGAAAGCGUGGGGAGCAAACAGG
rnacentral:rRNA from 1 species